rnacentral:rRNA from 1 species
UACGUAGGUGGCAAGCGUUAUCCGGAUUUAUUGGGCGUAAAGGGAACGCAGGCGGUCUUUUAAGUCUGAUGUGAAAGCCUUCGGCUUAACCGGAGUAGUGCAUUGGAAACUGGGAGACUUGAGUGCAGAAGGGGAGAGUGGAAUUCCAUGUGUAGCGGUGGAAUGCGUAGAUAUAUGGAGGAACACCGGUGGCGAAAGCGGCUCUCUGGUCUGUAACUGACGCUGAGGCUCGAAAGCGUGGGUAGCGAACAGG